CUCCAAACAGGUCCAGCUCUGGAAUAGAAAUGCUAGAGCUCGCUGGUGGGGAGAGGGAUUGGCGCCCGAUGUGGGAGGAAGAGAACAGAGGCUGCUUGGGGUGGGCCCCUUGUUCCCCAGAGCCUCACCAUUCCCUUGCCCCACUCACCCACAGGGCUGCUGGGCUUCCCAGAGGGCAGGGCCUGCUCCAUCCCCUCCUUGAUCUCUGUGGAUUCUGGAGGUUUGGCAAAUGAGUCAAAGGCCGAGGCAGCACCUACAGCUGGGGGAAGAGAGGGAGAGGAGAUGGAUUGGCAAAAAGAGCAGGUGCUGGUCUAACCCCUUUCCAGAGAAGCUACCCUCGUAACACAUACAGUAUCUGCUUCCCCCUUGGCUCUGCCUGGAAGUCCUCCAGCCCCUCACUCACAUGCUCUGGCCCUCUUCUUACCAGGAGCUGGGCCCUUCAGACAUUCUCCAUAGCCCUCACUAUGAAAGCCUGUCCCACAGGCGGCGGAGGCUCAAGGUGAUACCUAUUCAUGAUCCCUCACCUCGACAUAGUGCUUUACAGUUUAUAAUGUUUCUUCAUCCACAGAGUACCUGAUUUUCAUAACAACCCUGUGAGGUCAGUGUCCAAGAGAAAUUGGCCACAGUGAACAUGGGCGGAAAGGAGACCGCAGCACCCGGGCAUGACAUGGACAGCUUUGGAGGGCAGCCUUGCACUCAGCAGCUGCUCACUCCCCAUGUGGAGAAAAUACGUCCAUGAGCCCGCGGUGUUUUCAGCACCAUGUGCCUGGGCCCACCUUAGUCUUGAUCGACAGUAUCACAUAAUCCUAACAUGUCAGAGCUGGAACUAUCCAAUAAGCACACUGUGCAGAAGGGGAAACUGAGGCCAUGACAGUGACAUGCCCCAAGUCAUAGAGUAAGUGGCAGCAAAUUCAGAACCCAAAUCCAGGGGUCUCUGAUCAGGAUCCCUGUGCAUCCCACUUUGCUGUUAACUCAGUCAUCAGCCCAUGCAGGGUGGGACUAGGGCUGCUACACCCCCACACCUAUUUCAUCUAAUAAACAUGUUAGUGCUUACUAUAUGCCAAGCACUACUCUGCUCUCUCUUUACAAAUACUCAGUCCGUGUCUCAGGCCCUGUCCAUCCCACGCACCCCAGCCCACUCCCUACCUGGCUGGUUUUUAGUUUCUCUUCCUCCUUUUUCUCUUCUGUCUCGGUCUCUCUGUCCCGCCGAUGGUGGACAGCAGGCCCUGCACCAUUGGCCAUGGGGGAGCCAUCACCCCGCCAGGAUUUCACCUCCUGCAGAAGGCACAGAAAGGGUCAGGACAUGAGCGGCGCAGGCUGGAAUCCGGGGACCUGUGCACCCGAGGCUGGAGUCGAGAGAGUGCAGGUGGGAGGCAGCUGAGAGGUUAGGAGCGGCAGGGCCACCGGGUACAGCAGGAGGAGCCUGUUAGUGCCCUGAAGCACCUCCAUCACCAGCAGCAACAGCAGCACCGGCGGCCGGGAGGGCUCAGCCCACUACCUUCUCGUGCUCCUGCCGGCUCAGGCGCAGAGCCAGCUGCAGCUGCAGGUCCUCAUCCCUGUGGGAGGCUGGGGGGACAGGCUGCGGAGGAAGAGAGGUGUGAACUUGGCCCUGUACUCCCACCUUGGGAGCAGAAGGGCAGUAUAGCCCUGCCUGGGUCAUGGGGAUGGAGAGACAGAUGCCCAGCCUCAGUAUGCAUGGGCCAUUUGCCCCUCAGUCAGCAGGGUGGGCGUGGCCUUCUCCCUGCCUGCAUCUGAAAUGCAGUUUAAAGAUCAGGAAGACUGAUCUUUUGCUUCUGAAUCCUCUGAGAGUUCUCUAGGCCCUCCUGUGUGAGGCCCAGCUGCUUCCUGCCUGGUCUUCCUGGAUCCACAGAGGUAGUGGCAAAGUUGAUGAUAUCGGGGGCCCAUCCUUGUCUCCCCACGAGGAUAGCUGGUGGGCGGGGGCGGGCAGCAUAUCCCAGUGUCUCCUAGCAGUGUCUGAGCUCACUCACCCCUUCCACCAUGAGGUGGUAGCAGGCCCCCCGAGACACAUCAGGUGCCCCUAAUUGCACACUCGCUACUCUUUCCAGGCCAGGUGGAGAGGACUGGAGGCGGGGAGGCAGUCCCUGCCUGCGACAGACCGACAGAGACAGUGGGUCUUGUGCUGUCCUUGGGCACAGGAGUGGGGCUUCGGGUGACAGAGCCUGAGUCAAGGCUGAGGGGCUCCCAGGCAUUCUCCCUCUAGCCCAUCCCCUCUCCACCACAGUGGGGUUGCGUGGCCUCACCUUCUCUGCCUCCUCACGGCUCAUGGCUAGGGCCAGCUGCAGCUGCAGUUCCUCUUCCCCUGACGUCUGAGGCCGGGCCUGCUCCAGGUCGGAGGUAUAGCGGGGUGACGAAGAGGAGGCUGCAACGACCAUCAUGUCUCUGUGACCACACGAUUACCCAUUAGCUUCCACACCCCUCUGCCUGCCAGGAAGCUGAGGCUCAAAGAAGAGAACUGAGAGGAGGGGAACAACAGGCCGUGGAGGCCCCCGUGGGCCAGGCAGUGUGCUGGGCACUCUCUGUAAGUUCCCCAUCCCACCCUGUCCCGGUGGGACGGCUCCAAUCCCUCCUUAGCAGAUGCACAGGCAGCACUUAGGGCACCUGACCAGGGUCCUCAAGCAGGACUUGAACCCAGGUGCCCUGACUCCAGCUCUUGGACUUCCAGAUGGACCCUGUCCUGCCUGGGGGCAAGGGAAGUGCAAGGAUAGGAGGUUCUAGUCCAACGAGGUCACAGCCUCACAGCCCUCAGCAAACUGUCAAAGGCUUUAUGGAAGGCGGGCCAUUCUGAGUAUUCCUCAGAUCGGGGAAGCCCCCACAACUCAGGGCAGGACAGUCAGGGACUGUCCGGCAGCUGCCCUCAGGUAGGGGGAUGAAGGGGAAUGCCAUAUGUCUGGGCUCAGGGUAGAGGACAUUGCUGAGCCUGGUCUCAUUUCAUUCUCAAAUCAAACAGUGGAGGUAGGUGAGCUUAUCUCCACUGUACAGAUGAGGAAACUGAGGUUCAGAGAACUGGUUGCCCAGGUCACACAGCUUGGAGGAAGCAGAAUAAAGAAUGCUAUCUGUCUCCAAACCCAUGCUUCCACCAUCAUGCCAUCCUAUCAAGACAGCUAACGAAUGAUGAUGAAUCUGUAACAACAUUAUUAUCUGAGCUAACUUGUUGAGCACCUCCUA